rnacentral:rRNA from 1 species
UACGUAGGGAGCAAGCGUUGUCCGGAAUCAUUGGGCGUAAAGCGCGCGUAGGUGGCCUCGUAAGUCCGCUGUGAAAGUCAAAGGCUCAACCUUUGAAAGCCGGUGGAUACUGUGGGGCUAGAGUACGGAAGAGGCGAGUGGAAUUCCUGGUGUAGCGGUGGAAUGCGCAGAUAUCAGGAGGAACACCAAUAGCGAAGGCAGCUCGCUGGGACGUAACUGACACUGAGGCGCGGAAAGCGUGGGGAGCGAACAGG